rnacentral:lncRNA from 1 species
AUCCAUUUUCUCCUAGUACAAGUAUAGAAGUUUUAACUCUAAAAUACCAAAGAUGAUAAUUGCAUUUGGGAAGAGUCAGAGACCUUAUUCCGAUUGUGUUUUCAUUUAUUCUAUAAGCUCAGAAAGGACAUUUUCCAUCUAUCGUGCAUUUGAUAUUGUGUGGAUACAGUCACCCGGUCUUACAAGAAGUUAAUGUUAUUAGACUGGACAUAAGAGCAGAUACACUGCCUGCAUACUCCUCUCAAAGUUUACUUCUCUGGAAGCUAUGGACUGGAAGAGCAAAGCCUCAGGCUUGUGAUUUUAUAAAGCCAUCUGAGAGACCACACCUAGUAACCAGAGUAUUUCUACAACUUUAGUGAUUGGCUGUUCAUAGUCUGAAAGCUAAAUAUGGGUCCCUUCCAAAGCAUACAUACACAUGCAAAAAUGCAUUGCAAAACUGCUCACUGAAAUAAACCAAAAGCAGAUUUCA